rnacentral:rRNA from 1 species
AAUGAACGCUGGCGGCAGGCCUAACACAUGCAAGUCGAACGGACGCACAGUAAGCGUGUGCUCUUACGGUUGGCGGUUGACGGACGAGUUACGCAUAGAUCCGAAUCUACUUUUACGUGGGUGAUCACGGGGCGCAGGAUACGCUAACAUCGCAUACGACCAACGGCCGACAUCAUGCGAUCUUCGCACCUUGCCCGAUUGUAUGAGCCGAUGCCGCAUUGGCUAGUUGGCGGGGUAAAGGCCCACCAAGGCGACGAUCCGUAGCCGGCCUGACAGUGUGAUCGGUCACACUAGAACUGAGACACGGUCCAGACUCCUACGGGAGGCAGCAGUGGGGAAUCUUCGACAAUGGGCGCAAGCCUGACCCAGCCAUACCGCGUGAGUGAAGAAGGCCUUCGGGUUGUAAAGCCCUUUUGUUGGGAAAGAAAAGCAGCCUCUUAAUACCCGGCCCUUCUGACGGUACCCAAAGAAGAAGCACCGGCUAACUUCGUG